rnacentral:misc_RNA from 1 species
AACGCACAUUGCACCUCUUGGUAUUCCAGGAGGUAUGCCUGUUCGAGCGUCAUUGCAACCAUCAAGCGCAAGCUUGGUAUUGGAUAUCACUUGUUAUAGUGUAUCUUAAAAUAAGUGGUAAUGCCCUUCAGCUUCAAGCGUAGUAAUUUUCUUGCUUCUGGAGUUUGAUUGGUAUUGCUAGAACCCCCAAUUUAUCAAGGUUUGACCUCGGAUCAGGUAGGGAUACCCGCUGAACUUAA